CUUUGGUCUCGGCGGCAGAAGCAAAAUGACGAAGGGAACGUCAUCGUUUGGAAAGCGUCGGAAUAAGACGCACAAGCUGUGCCGCCGCUGUGGCUCUAAGGCCUACCACCUUCAGAAGUCGACCUGUGGCAAGUGUGGCUACCCUGCCAAGCAAAAGAGAAAGUAUAAUUGGAGUGCUAAAGCUAAAAGACAAAAUACCACCGGGACUGGUCGAAUGAGGCACCUAAAAAUUGUAUACCACAGAUUCAGGCAUGGAUUCCGUGAAGGAACAACACCUAAACCCAAGCGAGCGGCUGUUGCAGCAUCCAGUUCAUCCUAAGGAUUUCAACAAUUAGUUGAGCAAUAAAUGUUCUGGCUUUAAAAAAAAAAAAAGAAAAGAAAAGAAAA